UAGAUGAACGAGUUGCCCCAGUAGGAUGGC
rnacentral:piRNA from 1 species